AGCGAACGCUGGCGGCAGGCCUAACGCAUGCAAGUCGAACGAAGCCUUCGGGCUUAGUGGCGGACGGGUGAGUAACACGUGGGAACGUACCUUUUGGUUCGGAACAACUCAGGGAAACUUGAGCUAAUACCGGAUGAGCCCUUAGGGGGAAAGAUUUAUCGCCGAAAGAGCGGCCCGCGUUAGAUUAGCUAGUUGGUGAGGUAAAGGCUCACCAAGGCUACGAUCUAUAGCUGGUCUGAGAGGAUGAUCAGCCACACUGGGACUGAGACACGGCCCAGACUCCUACGGGGGGCAGCAGUGGGGGAUCUUGCGCAAUGGGCGAAAGCCUGACGCAGCCAUGCCGCGUGAAUGAUGAAGGUCUUAGGAUUGUAAAAUUCUUUUACCAGGGACGAUAAUGACGGUACCUGGAGAAAAAGCCCCGGCUAACUUCGUGCCAGCCGCCGCAGUAACAC
rnacentral:rRNA from 1 species